AACGAGGGCGGCAGGCCUAACACAUGCAAGUCGAACGGUAACAGGAAACAGCUUGCUGUUUCGCUGACGAGUGGCGGACGGGUGAGUAAUGUCUGGGAAACUGCCUGAUGGAGGGGGAUAACUACUGGAAACGGUAGCUAAUACCGCAUAAUGUCGCAAGACCAAAGAGGGGGACCUUCGGGCCUCUUGCCAUCGGAUGUGCCCAGAUGGGAUUAGCUAGUAGGUGGGGUAACGGCUCACCUAGGCGACGAUCCCUAGCUGGUCUGAGAGGAUGACCAGCCACACUGGAACUGAGACACGGUCCAGACUCCUACGGGAGGCAGCAGUGGGGAAUAUUGCACAAUGGGCGCAAGCCUGAUGCAGCCAUGCCGCGUGUAUGAAGAAGGCCUUCGGGUUGUAAAGUACUUUCAGCGGGGAGGAAGGGAGUAAAGUUAAUACCUUUGCUCAUUGACGUUACCCGCAGAAGAAGCACCGGCUAACUCCGUGCCAGCAGCCGCGGUAAUACGGAGGGUGCAAGCGUUAAUCGGAAUUACUGGGCGUAAAGCGCACGCAGGCGGUUUGUUAAGUCAGAUGUGAAAUCCCCGGGCUCAACCUGGGAACUGCAUCUGAUACUGGCAAGCUUGAGUCUCGUAGAGGGGGGUAGAAUUCCAGGUGUAGCGGUGAAAUGCGUAGAGAUCUGGAGGAAUACCGGUGGCGAAGGCGGCCCCCUGGACGA
rnacentral:rRNA from 1 species